GAUGAACGCUAGCGGCAGGCCUAACACAUGCAAGUCGAGGGGUAGAGGAAGCUUGCUUCCUUGAGACCGGCGCACGGGUGCGUAACGCGUAUGCAAUCUACCUUUUACAGAGGGAUAGCCCAGAGAAAUUUGGAUUAAUACCUCACAGUAUUUUCGAAUGGCAUCAUUUGAUUAUUAAAGUUCCAACGGUAAAAGAUUAGCAUGCGUCCUAUUAGCUAGAUGGUAAGGUAACGGCUUACCAUGGCAACGAUAGGUAGGGGUCCUGAGAGGGAGAUCCCCCACACUGGUACUGAGACACGGACCAGACUCCUACGGGAGGCAGCAGUGAGGAAUAUUGGACAAUGGGCGCAAGCCUGAUCCAGCCAUGCCGCGUGCAGGAAGACGCAUCUAUGGUGUGUAAACUGCUUUUGUACGGGAAGAAACACUCCCUCGUGAGGGAGCUUGACGGUACCGUAAGAAUAAGGAUCGGCUAACUCCGUGCCAGCCGCCGCAGUAA
rnacentral:rRNA from 1 species